rnacentral:rRNA from 1 species
CUGGCGGCAUGCUUACACAUGCAAGUCGUGCGCCCCGCAAGGGGAGCGGCGGACGGGUGAGUAACGCGUAGGAACGUGUCCUGAGAUGGGGAACAACCCUGGGAAACUGGGGCUAAUGCCGCAUAUGGCCUAUGGGUCAAANCCUUCGGGCGUCUUGGGAGCGGCCUGCGUCCGAUUANCUUGUUGGUGGGGUAAUGGCCUACCAAGGCGUCCACCGGUANCUGGUCUGANAGGACNAUCANCCACACUGGGACUGAGACACGGCCCAGACUCCUACGGGAGGCAGCAGUGGGGAAUAUUGGGCAAUGGGCGCAAGCCUGACCCANCAAUGCCGCGUGGGUGAANAAGGUCUUCUGAUUGUAAAGCCCUUUCGGCGG